CCUACGGGGGGCUGCAGUGGGGAAUAUUGGACAAUGGGGGGAACCCUGAUCCAGCCAUGCCGCGUGUGUGAAGAAGGCCCUCGGGUUGUAAAGCACUUUCAGUGAGGAAGAACGCCUGGUGGUUAAUACCCAUCAGGAAAGACAUCACUCACAGAAGAAGCACCGGCUAACUCCGUGCCAGCAGCCGCGGUAAUACGGAGGGUGCGAGCGUUAAUCGGAAUUACUGGGCGUAAAGCGCGCGUAGGUGGCUUGAUAAGCCGGUUGUGAAAGCCCCGGGCUCAACCUGGGAACGGCAUCCGGAACUGUCAAGCUAGAGUGCAGGAGAGGAAGGUAGAAGUCCCGGUGUAGCGGUGAAAUGCGUAGAGAUCGGGAGGAAUACCAGUGGCGAAGGCGGCCUUCUGGACUGACACUGACACUGAGGUGCGAAAGCGUGGGUAGCAAACAGGAUUAGAUACCCGUGUAGUC
rnacentral:rRNA from 1 species